GUAUAUCACGUGAGUAAGUUAUAUUCUUAGGUAAAAAGACAGUUAGCUUAUUAAAAUUUUAGUUUAUUGACCAUUUAUAUAAAAGUAAAAUUUGGAUAUAAAUAGCUAAUUUAAUAAUAACUAUAUUAUGCUGAAGCUGUGAUAGUCUUGAGGGAAACUGGGAUUAGAUACCCCAUUAUUCUUGAUUGUAAAUAUAAAUUAAAUUUACCAGAGUACUAUGAAUAGUUUAAAAAUUUAAAACUCAAAGGGCUUGGCGGUGUUUUAGACCCAUCAGGGGAACCUGUCUCGUAAUCGACAAUCCACGUUGUACCUAACCCUAUUUUGUAUUCAGUUUGUAUACCGUCGUCGUCAGGUAACUUUUAAAAAUAAAGAAGUUAGCAAUAUAAAUUUAUAAGUUAAAACGUCAGAUCAAGGUGCAGCUUAUAAUAGGGAGAGGAUGGGUUACAAUUAUAAAAAUUAUAACUACGGAAAUUUAAACGAAAUUUUAUUUUGAAGGAGGACUUGAAAGUAAACUAAAGUACAUAAGUAGAUUGAAUGAGGCUCUG
rnacentral:rRNA from 1 species